GCUACUAUGUACAUCCACAAAGAAACCAUAUAAAGUAAUGCUUGUUUGUUAGUGGUAGUCGGGUGAGUGUUGUAGUAGUUCUGUCGUUUGUCGCUAGUGCAGUAAUACCCACAAGGAUGGGGUUAGGAUUCAUUUGUGGGCCAAAAAGGAGAAGCAAGCUUUGAAGUCGGAACAGUUUGUCCGGUUGAAGUCAGCAGAUUGGAAUAGGGGAACCCUGAGCACGUCACUGUAUGCAGUACUCACUUCACCAUUGAUGACUGAUGGCAUAGUAUAACCAGUGGAAGGCAGGAUUCGGAAUUAGUGACAAACCAGGUGCUGUGCCUAGCGUGAAUGUGAAGCCUGCAACCUAUUUCCUACCGGUACAUGGCGAGUGUCAACAGUGGAGAUAAACUGGGGCCACUCUUCCUGAGUCCUCUUCAGUGGAUUCGGAGGAAAGCGUAUCCCCAUCUGCCGAUGCAUUGCCCCGCAGCCUAGGACCAUCGGUCAUCUCGUCUCCAAGAUCACUUUUGUUGGAUGAAAAGCGCAGGUGCAGUGCAACCUAGCUCAGUUUGUUGUUACCUGCACUAAUGGAGAACAAAAAUCGUUUAUCUACAGAAAAAAUAUUCAUCAGUGUCAAACGUAUCUUUGAUGCCAUAAAAAAAACAUAGCCCGUGGCACAAAUGUGAUUUACAAAUAGCAAUUGUCAGUGAGAAUUUUCUCUAGUCAACUAAUACUAAAAUGUAAGCGCUCAGACUGAUGAAGCGUGCAAUAUACCGCCCUAUAACGCUGCCAUGCCAUUCGAAUAGUGUGUGGGCUACACGGAGAUUACUGCUAUUAUUAGAACCUACAUUGCUUCAUAAAUAAUUCAGUCGUUCGACGCAACGCGGUGCGACCAGCCAGCCCAGGUUCACCUGCGUAAAGUAGGCGCAAAAUCACCCAGCAGUAAUAGGCUUUGUAGAGGAAAUAGGCCACUGAAGAUAAUCUUGUAGGCCUACUAUACACAGCGGGUGGUCAACCACAUUGAAAAUAACAAUGGCAAACUGGCAAUGGCAAGCAAUUUACAGUAGGCUAUAUCAGUAAACAAAAAUUUCCUAAGAACCCAUACUGUGUGCCAGACUAAUACAUUCCUGUUGCCUAUAACAAUACUUAUUUAUAAUUUCUCAUUUGCCCCGAAAGUUAUUAUGUUAAAAAAAUAAUGCAUGAUAUAACUUAGCAGGGGCGCAACUUUGGUUUUAGAAGUGUGGGGGUUGGGGGGGACAUAAUUAUUUAUUUGUUUUCCAGUCGGAUAAACACUCCAAACAGCCUACCCGACCGCUCACAGGCGUCCGCAUGGUCCUACGGCACAAUUGUCUCGUUUUGUAUCGUGGGCAAAAAUGCAAUUUCAGAAUGUGGGUGACGUCCCCCGUCCCCAGUGAAAGUUGCGCCCCUGUAGUUUAGUGAUGAGGGCGAUUCAGUUUGGAUGGAUACAAUAUAGCCUAUGCCAUUGUAAUCGUUGACACUGUUUUACAGCCUCAAAUUCAAGCAAUUGACAAAAUGAUCGACCCACCUCUUCUCCGGAGUAGCCGUGACUUUUAAAAUGAACAAUCACCAGCAUCCUGUUAUCAGCACACCCGACAGCUGUUCGACAUUAGCAAGUGAACAAGAUCUCAGCCUUACUGGAAAAUUUAACACCAUUUGCUUGAAAUGCUCAACCAAUUAACGUGGCCGAAAUAGUCAACACAGGGUAAGCCCCUCCCCUCCACGUUUCAGCAGGGUUGUUAAUUUAUUAUUUUACUGUUAUAAUGCUUUAGUAAACUCAAAUACAUUUUAAGAAUGUUAGUUUAAAUUAGUUUGUGAAAGGUCAAGAGGAAGUAGAAUGAUAGAAAUAAUUCAAAUGCAUUAAAUAGGAAGGGUGUGAGUAGCCAUCGUAUUAUAUAGCAUUAACACUGAUUUCAGUGUUUUCUGUGAGUUGUCUGGAAACUAGACUGAGCUGAAAAACAAAACAGGUUCCUCUAAAACAACCAUGCCUUUGGGGUGGAGGCUACAACCUGCACUCCUUCACACCUGUGUUUACAGCUAGAUAUUUGUUUUCUCUUAACAUGAGCAACUCUGUCAUCACAAGAAAUCUGACAAAACACCUUAUUAGGGUCACGUAGACGGACAGAUGGAGAGAAACACUGACUUUGAGUUGGUCAAAUUCCAAGCUAUGUCUCAGUGAAUUAAUGUGUUUCAUUGAGGAAAAAACAUCUUAUACUUGUGUCACUUACUGCCAUAAUGACAAUUAUCAUGUGUGCACACAUUACUUACACGGCUUGUUGGUAAGACAGCAGCCAGAGUGAGUGUGUGGGUGAGCUAGCGUUGCUGCUGGUCUCCUCAUGGUAAAACAGCGUGGGACAGAGACAGCAACACACACAGUCAGCGUUUUGAGAGAGUGAAAACAUCAAUGGUGGUUAGUGAGCAGUUUCGUUUGUGAUGUGGAUUAAGGCCAACAUUUGAGAAUAUUUAUGAGCUUGUUUUGCAUUAGUGUUUGUCCCACCCUAAAAUAUCAGGGUACCUAUAUAUCUAGAGCAGACACUAUUUAGAGGGCCUAAGUGUUCUGGUCAAGAAAGGUCACUUGGUGCCAGAGCUGUGUUGAAAUACGUGUAUUAAAUUAUUUAUUUCAAUAAAAAAAAAUCUGUGUACAGUAUGAGUAUUUUAAAAUAAUGUGGCCGAAAUCAUCUAAUUCUAUUGGAAGUAUUUUCAAACAAUUUCCAAUAAUUUCCUAUUUGAAAAAUAUUUGAAAAUUGUUAUUUCCAAUUACAUUACAAAUACUCCUAGGACAUUGGUCCAAAUGCAUCAGAGUAUUUAUUUGAAAAUACUCUGCAUUUGAAUAUUUUGAAAUACACAUCAAUACUUUCCAAGUACAUAUAAUUUCCCCAAAAAAUAUUUGAAUAUUGCUUCGAAAUGUGAAAGUAAUUGAAAUAGUAAUUGAACCCUGGUUUGCUUGGUGCCAAAUUGAUGUGGGAGUAGGUGAAAGUAUUCCCUAGAAGUCUGCACUGCAGCAAUAACACUCUCGCCUUGUGGAGACGAGUUUAAAAGAGUUGUCUUCUUUUCCAGAAAGAAACUUGGUGUUUACCAGCAAUUCCAAGAAUAUGUGAUACACUUUUCUCUCAGUUGGUAUAGCUGUUCCUUCUCCAUUUCUAUUGGACCUGAUCCCUAAAUGACAGCAUGCGUGGCUUAGCUACCUACUUAUUUGGUGUUACUUUGAUAGGUUUGCCUCUAAUGGUGUAGCCCAUCAUUGUAAAUAAGAAUUUGUUCUUAACUGACUUGCCUGGUUAAAUAAAAAUAAUGCUAAUUACAUUCAAUGCCAAUAUUUGAUCCCUACCUCUCCUAUGGUGACACCUACUGGACAGAAUACAUCACCACAGUACAUGCCAUGGUGCAGUCAGACAUUAAAACCAGGGUGCAGUCUGUUGAUCAGACACAAAAAGGAAUAGAUCUUUUACAUACAAUUUCUUUGUGUACAUGCAUGCAUUUAAGUUUUCCAUUCCAAAUAUCCUUUUGAUAUAGGCAUAGCCUGAAUUCAAAAUAAUUCAGUGGAUAAACAACCUUAUCACAGCCUGCCAUUUAACCCACGAGGGAACAUGCUAAAUAAGUAAGUAGAUGCAAGAGGCACAUAUACAAACAGGGCAAAGAGCAGCAAGUUGCUAGUAGUUGUCUUUAUUGACAAUAUGGAUCAGACAAAAACCGUAACAAAACAAAGAAAUGAACACCUGAAAAACAUAUGACCUGAACAGCCCAUCUCCUACACACUGCUGUAUCUGAGUUGUAACCAGUUAAGUGUGUUGAGUUACAAUUUAGAGCCAUUUCAUCUAUCCGUUAUUGUAUGGAAUAGGUCUUUUGACCAAUCACAUCAGAUAUUUUUCAUAGAUGAUCUGAUUGGUCAAAAGAACAAUUAGUGAAAAAAAUAUCAGAAUUCGGCUGCCUAUCUGAACGCUGCCAUUGAGGGUAUCUUGACUGCCGGCUAAAUAAGUAACUUAAACGCAAUAGGUAUGUGAAUGUAUGUGGAUGAUAGUCCAUGCCUGAAACUGACUCCUAACUAUAUUGUAAAGUACCCGUCUCAAAUCGCUCCCAUCUAAACCAUUGAUUGGGUUCUUAUUCCCAGCUCUAAAGCCUCACUGUGACCCUGGUCUGUAGGUUUCUAAAGCCUCACUGUGACCCAGGUCUGUAGGUUUCUAAAGCCUCACUGUGACCCAGGUCUGUAGGUUUCUAAAGCCUCACUGUGACCCAGGUCUGUAGGUUUCUAAAGCCUCACUGUGACCCAGGUCUGUAGGUUUUUAAAGCCUCACUGUGACCCAGGUCUGUAGGUUUCUAAAGCCUCACUGUGACCCAGGUCUGUAGGUUUCUAAAGCCUCACUGUGACCCAGGUCUGUAGGUUUCUAAAGCCUCACUGUGACCCAGGUCUGUAGGUUUCUAAAGCCUCACUGUGACCCAGGUCUGUAGGUUUCUAAAGCCUCACUGUGACCCAGGUCUGUAGGUUUCUAAAGCCUCACUGUGACCCUGGUCUGUAGGUUUUUAAAGCCUCACUGUGACCCAGGUCUGUAGGUUUUUAAAGCCUCACUGUGACCCAGGUCUGUAGGUUUUUAAAGCCUCACUGUGACCCAGGUCUGUAGGUUUUUAAAGCCUCACUGUGACCCAGGUCUGUAGGUUUUUAAAGCCUCACUGUGACCCAGGUCUGUAGGUUUUUAAAGCCUCACUGUGACCCAGGUCUGUAGGUUUCUAAAGCCUCACUGUGACCCAGGUCUGUAGGUUUUUAAAGCCUCACUGUGACCCAGGUCUGUAGGUUUUUAAAGCCUCACUGUGACCCUGGUCUGUAGGUUUCUAAAGCCUCACUGUGACCCAGGUCUGUAGGUUUUUAAAGCCUCACUGUGACCCAGGUCUGUAGGUUUUUAAAGCCUCACUGUGACCCAGGUCUGUAGGUUUCUAAAGCCUCACUGUGACCCAGGUCUGUAGGUUUCUAAAGCCUCACUGUGACCCUGGUCUGUAGGUUUUUAAAGCCUCACUGUGACCCAGGUCUGUAGGUUUUUAAAGCCUCACUGUGACCCAGGUCUGUAGGUUUUUAAAGCCUCACUGUGACCCAGGUCUGUAGGUUUUUAAAGCCUCACUGUGACCCAGGUCUGUAGGUUUUUAAAGCCUCACUGACCCAGGUCUGUAGGUUUUUAAAGCCUCACUGUGACCCAGGUCUGUAGGUUUCUAAAGCCUCACUGUGACCCUGGUCUGUAGGUUUCUAAAGCCUCACUGUGACCCAGGUCUGUAGGUUUUUAAAGCCUCACUGUGACCCAGGUCUGUAGGUUUCUAAAGCCUCACUGUGACCCUGGUCUGUAGGUUUCUAAAGCCUCACUGUGACCCAGGUCUGUAGGUUUUUAAAGCCUCACUGUGACCCAGGUCUGUAGGUUUCUAAAGCCUCACUGUGACCCAGGUCUGUAGGUUUUUAAAGCCUCACUGACCCAGGUCUGUAGGUUUUUAAAGCCUCACUGUGACCCAGGUCUGUAGGUUUUUAAAGCCUCACUGUGACCCAGGUCCGUAGGUUUCUAAAGCCUCACUGUGACCCUGGUCUGUAGGUUUCUAAAGCCUCACUGUGACCCAGGUCUGUAGGUUUCUAAAGCCUCACUGUGACCCAGGUCUGUAGGUUUCUAAAGCCUCACUGUGACCCUGGUCUGUAGGUUUUUAAAGCCUCACUGUGACCCAGGUCUGUAGGUUUUUAAAGCCUCACUGUGACCCAGGUCCGUAGGUUUCUAAAGCCUCACUGUGACCCAGGUCUGUAGGUUUUUAAAGCCUCACUGUGACCCUGGUCUGUAGGUUUCUAAAGCCUCACUGUGACCCUGGUCUGUAGGUUUCUAAAGCCUCACUGUGACCCAGGUCUGUAGGUUCUAAACCUUCAAUUUGGCCCUGGUCUGUAGGUUUCUAAACCCUCACUGUGACCCUGGUCUGUAGGUUUCAUGGUAUGAGCAGGCUCAUGAUUACAGGUGAAUAGGUAAAAUGCUAGACCUUUUGUGAGCAAGACUACCUCAACUUCAUUUGCAACUAAGUGCCUGUUUAAUUGUGUCUGUAUGCAUGCGUGUGUUUGUAUGCGAGUGUGAGAUCUUCACAGGCCGAUGGUGUAGGAUCGUCCUGCUGGGUUGUGGAUAGCGGAGCAUGAGGGCUCUGUCACGGCCCAUUCGUACCACACCUUCUUCCCAUUGUUACAUCUCCAGAACCUCACCACGACGUCAUCAUCCUUCGUCACAGGGAUCGGUUGCUGCAGGGUGAAUGAAGGUGAAGCAGGCCUUGGGCUCAGCCAGCUGGUGGAAGUUGUGGAGUCGGACUACGUAGGGGGUCUCAAAGUGGCCCUCGGGGUCCUUGUCCCGCUCCCUGCACCCCCGGACCUCGUUAUACAGCUUGGAGGAAGAGAGGGGGGCCAGGAAGGAUGUGUAGGAACAGGGGAUGCUCACCCCACCAUCUGAGAGGAACAAGAGAACGGGAACACGUUUAAGAUGAAAGGGUAGAGGUGGUUGAGGCAAAAUAAAUGGGCAUUGAAAGAAAAUUACCAUAUGUAAAGAGCUCUAUCACGUAAUAAAGAUUUCAAUCAGUGAUGAGCAAAAUUUCAAUAUCAACGAGUUGCAAAUGACUGUAAUUAGAGUGACUUCCCCCCCUACCUUUGAGAAAGUUCUGUGCUCCAUCUAAACACUCUGGGGACAGCUCAUUGUCCCCGAAGGACCCGAGCAGCUCGCUGACGAUGAUGUCUGCCUUCUCAGGUGCCGCCCACUCCCUCAUGUCACAUGACACUACGGUCACCUGAUCGCCCCACUCCUCAAACUUCCAGUUCUCAAGCCUGGGAGUGUGUGACAGGAUCAGUACAGGGAAUUUUUAGGAGCUCAGUGGAGAUUAAUGUUGCCAACCUCACAUUUUUAUCUGGAUUUAUUUAUCUGCCAGAGAGUAUUAUUAAAGCUAUCCGGCAAAAUUACUCCUAAUGCCUGAAUAAAAAAAAUGAAGGACUUCAAUUAUCUUCUGGAAUGAGUUUAGCCUGUGCUGGCAAAUCUUUUGGAGGUCAGGGUUCAAAAUGAGAAAAGGUUCCACUCACGUGACGACAGCGUUGGGGUUCUUCUCCACGGCGUAGAUACGGAGCUUUCUGUCAGCCUGCUUGGCGGCCCGCAGGGAGGCGUUGACCAGAGGACCUCUCCCAGCACCCAGCACCAUCAACACCCUGGGGUUACAGAGAAUACAUACGGUUACCCACCAGAUACAGAGGGGGAAGGUGAUUGUCAGGAGAAUAGAUACUCAUUAACAGAGGACAGACAGUGAGGUGUUGGAGCUACUCACUGUGUAUUGGUUUCCUUCUGCUCCUCCGGGACUCUGUCCAUCAAACACUUAUACACAGCCUGCAGAAAGAUCAGGAGAACCCAAUCGGUACUUAAUGAUAUUACUGUGUUAAACCCUACCAGCCACAUCACUAAUACUGUUAGUGUGUUAUACUGUGAGAACAUGCAUGUCAAAGGCUCCUUACCUGCUGGUACUGGGAGUAUUUGAUGGGAUCCUUCUCAAACACUUCAUAUGUCUGUGACUCCAGAUUGUCCAUGAGGGGCUAAUGGGAAGAGAACAGAUAGAGAAAUAAAGAAUCCAAUGCAUACAGACAAUAGGUAUGCCUAUUUACAAACUUAACAAACACACACCUGAAGAGGAGACUGUAGGUAAUCCUCGUAACCCUUGGCGAACAGUUCAUAGGCAUUGGGGGCAGGGCGGUUCUGGUUGAGGUAUUCAAGGUACUGCAAGUAAGACCGGAAGUCCUUCUCACUGUGACGACUGGUGCCAGUGAAGAUGAACUGGGCCUCAAGCUGGGAAAACAAGGAAAUGUUUUGCAAAAUACAUUUUCAAGAACAGAAGACAGACUGAAGAUAAAACGGUUGUAGUUGCUAUAACAAUUGCCAUAUAGCCUAGCAUUUACAGUACCUUGAAUAGACGGAAGAUGAUUUGCUGGUGGGCUUUUGAAAGGACUGGGAACCCUUUCUUAUUGGUCAGAAAGAUCCUGGUGGGAAGAAUAGCUGCUUUAAUUGGCUCUCCAAGCCACUUGUCGAUCACAGCGUUGGUGGGCAUGUUUGCUCCAACCUCAAUGGCUUCAGGGAAAGGAAGGGAAGACAGGUCAGUAUCAAUUGUGACCAAAACAAUUCCUUAUCAGUUUGUUAACACUCUAACCAUGUUUCCCUGUCCUGCUUCCUUACCUAAACAGAUUCUCUUGUUGUAGUCACAAAGAGUUCUGAAUGAAUGCCACCUGAAAAAUUAAAAACAAAAACUACAUUUUUACAAAAAGCAAAAAUACAAGGCUGAAAACCUUGAUGCCUUAGCCAUGUGGCCCUAGCUGUGACGGCAGACCCACCAGGCCCAGGUCUUCUCGUCAUUACUGCCAUCAUCGGUGUGUUUCGUUUGCUCAUUCUCGAUGAUGUCAUCACGCAUAUCAUCAGAGGAAAUCAGGGGGACCCGGAUCCAGAACUGAUAUGACACAAUCCACAGUUUCUUAGUUGUAGGUUUUAUAACUUCAAUUUUAAGUUCACUGAAAUACCAUGAAAUUGCCAGUCACAACACAAGCCAAGGAUUAAGAAUGAGUUAUAGUUCUUAUAUGGUACAGAUAGAUAACUCUUGACUGCUGUAGCUACCAUGCAGGAGUGGUGUCCAGUCUGGAUGUGGUUGAGCAGCACGCGGGCCAGGUUGGCACAGUGAGGGCCCUUCAGAGGGAUCAUAAAGGCUGGUAGACCCAGAUACGCUGAGAAGUUCAGCUCCUGGACCAGGGCCUGAGACAUGACAGAGGGAUGAAAGGAGAGCACCAAUUCAACCUGUGGCAAAGAGGUUUCAAAUGGUCUGCUUGAGCAGACAAAGGAGGCCAUGGUGUAUUCACUAAAAUUCAAACGGAACCCAACAGAACAAAAUGGGGAGGGACCUACCUGAAUUUGUACAAUAGAAACAGUCAUUUUCAUAGCGAAACGUCCUCCAUUGCAAAGCGGUUUGCUACUUUUUGUUACGGUGUGAAUACGUCUUUUCAUGAUGUCCAACUCACCGCUUCUGAAUUUCUGCGCUCCGUCUCCACCUCUGAGUCUGUCUCGAUCCAUGAAGAAAGCUUUCCAACAACCAGAGUGUUCCAGUCUGGGUAAGGAAGAAUUGUAAUUCAAUAUCCUGAUAGUUAUGUAAGUAGAUGCUCCUGUGCUCAGUGGAACUUGAGAAUGAGAAUGUACUGUCUAGUUUCUACCAUUGAGGCAAGUAUAAAUACAGGUUGCCUCUGACCUCACCUCGCCCACAGAGUAGCAGGUCCGAGCGUGUAUGUGCUCCAGAUCGGACUUUGGCUGGAUCCAACUCAAACUCCCUCCUGAACCUCGGGUGGAAGAGAGGCAUGCACAAGAAGUCAAACCUGAAAGAGAAGGGACAGAUGGGACACUAGUUGAGUUACCGAUGAUCUACAGUCCCUGGUUCUAAUCCAGGCUGAAUCACAUCCGGUCGUGAUUGGGAGUCACAUAGGGCGGCGCACAACUGUCCCAGCGUCGUCCGGGUUUGG